CGGCCCCCUCAGUGACAAGUCAGCGUUCAUGCAGACUGCGAGUGCAGACAUGAGUCAGGCGCUUCUAUGUGCGAUGAUGGCUGCUUGGAGUCUUGAUUUUUGCGGCCAGAUGGUGCACCAGCAGGAGCGGGAUGUCCACACCGUGGAGGGUGCAGCAGUGACGCUGGACUGCAGCUCUGACAGAGCAGGGAACAUUGACUACAUGGUGUGGUACAAACAAGAAGGCAACGCAUCGCCCGAGUUCAUCCUGAGCCCUUUUAAGAUUGGUCAUGGCAAGAAGGCGGAAAAGUACGUUGAAAGGUUUCGCUCCACCAUGGAUGCCAGCCCUCGGCACGCUCCUCUGUAUAUUGAACGCGUGAAGCCCAUUGACUCGGGAGUUUUCUACUGCGGCUUGCAGACCACACUGACACAUCCACUGGCGUGCCUGCACAAAAACAUCUGCACCCGCCUCAUCUCAUCAGUGACUUUGGGGGCAUGGCCUCACCGGAGUCCAGGAGUUACGGAGUUCGAUUCUGAGUUCGGCCUUUUUGUAAGUACCGGUAGCUAUUUUGUGAGUGUUGGGUAAAUUUGCUGAUUUGAAUUUGUCAAAUGAAUGCUUCACAUGUUUUGUCCUCAUAAAGUUAAUCGUGGAAAGUUCAUGUUUAUGCGGUACCAUCUUUCAAUCGCAAGAAUUCUCUCACGCAGAUGACACUCGUUCCCGUUUUUGCUGUCAACACACAGGGAACAAACUGCCGUCACCAUAACUUUGGUCAGCUCCUGUGAUUUUAUAUCUUUGAAGACAUCACUGAUGUCACACAUAUCGGCCCGUUGGAUUUUCAAAGCAAUGAUUACAUAUUGUGAGAAAAAAAAAACAACGAAAGUGUUGGGUUGUAUAUUUUGAUGGUUGAA